rnacentral:rRNA from 1 species
AACGAACGCUGGCGGCAGGCUUAACACAUGCAAGUCGAACGCCCCGCAAGGGGAGUGGCCGACGGGUGAGUAACGCGUGGGAAUCUACCGUACCCUACGGAACAACUCCGGGAAACUGGAGCUAAUACCGUAUACGCCCUACGGGGGAAAGAUUUAUCGGGGUAUGAUGAGCCCGCGUUGGAUUAGCUAGUUGGUGGGGUAAAGGCCUACCAAGGCGACGAUCCAUAGCUGGUCUGAGAGGAUGAUCAGCCACAUUGGGACUGAGACACGGCCCAAACUCCAACGGGAGGCAGCAGUGGGGAAUAUUGGACAAUGGGCGCAAGCCUGAUCCAGCCAUGCCGCGUGAGUGAUGAAGGUCUUAGGAUUGUAAAGCUCUUUCACCGAUGAAGAUAAUGACGGUAGUCGGAGAAGAAGCCCCGGCUAACUUCGUGCCAGCAGCCGCCGUAA